rnacentral:rRNA from 1 species
AUUGAACGCUAGCGGGAUGCCUUACACAUGCAAGUCGAACGGGGUGGCGAACGGGUGAGUAAGGUAUCGGAACGUGCCCAGUAGUGGGGGAUAACUACGCGAAAGCGUAGCUAAUACGGCAUACUAUUGGAGGGGCCGAUGUCGGAUUGGCUAGUUGGUGGGGUAAUGGCGUACCAAGGCGACGAUCCGUAGCUGGUUGGAGAGGACGACCAGCCGCACGGGGACUGAGACACGGCCCAGACUCCUACGGGAGGCAGCAGUGGGGAAUUUUGGACAAUGGGGGAAAGCCUGAUCCAGCCAUCCCGCGUGUGCGAUGAAGGCCUUCGGGUUGUAAAGCACUUUUGGCAGGAAAGCGGUACCUGCAGAAUAAGCACCGGCUAACUACGUGCCAGCAGCCGCGGUAAUAC